UGCCAUCGUAGCACACUUCAAUCCCAAGCAAGAAGGUAUUUGAGAAAAAGGAACCAUUAUAAAGAACAGCAGUAAAGAGAAACUUUUAAAAUGCAAUUACGCGCCAUUAUCCUGUUGAUGUUUGUUGUUGUGAUCUGCUCCGUGUCAGCCAGACCAGAUUAUUUAAAAGAAGCUGAAGCAAAGGAAAUAAAUGACAACGCACAGAAACUAAUCAAUGCCAAAAAUGAUCCUAAAUUAAAGUUUGCGCCGAAACAUGUAUCAUACGGAAUUUAUAAAGUUAUUUGUCCAUUCGUUUGUAAUCACUUGUGUUUUAUUAAAAUGGGAAGUCGCUACUUAUGUGAUAAGUCUGUUCAAAAAUGCUGCCAUAAAGAAUGCUCAAAGUUUUGGAAAUGUAUUAAAGUUGGUAAACCAUCGUUCCUCUGUUAUUCUCAGACAUUUGACAACACUUGCAAAUGUCGAAACUCAUUGAUAGGCAAAAGGGAACUACAACAUCCUCAUGUAAAAACGUAAU